AUCGGUGGCCUGGCGCAGUCAGGUGACCCGGUGCGGUCGGGCCGCCCGGUACCGCGGGGCAAAACCCCCUUCCACCGCCGCGCCUCUUAAAGGGGACGCCCCCCGCCCGCCCGUUCGAUGUAAAAGUACCUGAAUCUUACAGGCUUCAUUCACAAGCAGUGGUCUGAAUUACAACAAAGGUUGAGACCUUGUACAAAGGCGCUGUAAGAAUCAUAUGAUUCUUCUGGGGCAGAGUGGGGUUAAGGAAGACGGGAGUCUUCCUGAAAAUCAAGCACAUUCUCUCUCUGAUGUAAAAUCCCACACAAAUGCAGGAAUCUGAAGAACCCAGAAGCAAUAUUUUUUUCUAUUAGUUUUGUCAUUCACAUGUAAAGGUGUAUUGAAACUUCCAUAAAUUUCCCUGUUCACAGGUCUGGAAGCCAGGUUUAAUUAUAACAUUUGCUGUCGACCCUGACACACAAAGCUAUAAACAAGCAAAAAUUCUUUCCAAAACUCGCUGAGCCUUCUUUUAAGUUUUGCACUGAAGUUUGCUGAUUUUGAACAACUGGAUGAGAUGGAUUCUUCAUGAUUGCUAAGCAGUGAGUCCAUAAACUUGGUUCUGGCUCAUGUUCAAUCCACAGCAACAAGAAGCUUCUGGUUUGGGUUGUUUGUUUUGUUUUUUUUUUAAGCCAGGAUAACUAAGCAUUUCUUCUCCAUGUAACAUAUAUAGCAAAUAAAGAAUUAUGUAAUAUUUCA